rnacentral:rRNA from 1 species
GGAUUCCCCUAGUAACUGCGAGUGAAGCGGGAAAAGCUCAAAUUUAAAAUCUGGCAGUCUUUGGCUGUCCGAGUUGUAGUCUGGAGAAGUGUUUUCCGCGCUGGACCGUGUACAAGUCUCUUGGAACAGAGUGUCGUAGAGGGUGAGAAUCCCGUCUUUGACACGGACUACCAGUGCUUUGUGAUGCGCUCUCAAAGAGUCGAGUUGUUUGGGNAAUGCAGCUCAAAAUGGGUGGUAAAUUCCNAUCUAAAGCUAAAUAUUGGCGAGAGACCGAUAGCGAACAAGUACCGUGAGGGAAAGAUGAAAAGCACUUUGGAAAGAGAGUUAAACAGUACGUGAAAUUGCUGAAAGGGAAACGCUUGAAGUCAGUCGCGUCGUCCAGAACUCAACCUGGCUUUCGCUUGGUGCACUUUCUGGUUGACGGGCCAGCAUCAGUUUUGACUGCCGGAAAAAAGCCUUUGGAAUGUGGCACCUCCGGGUGUGUUAUAGCCUUGGGUUGCAUACGGUGGUUGGGACUGAGGACCGCAGCACGCCUCUUGGCCGGGGUUCGCCCACGUACGUGCUUAGGAUGCUGGCUUAAUGGCUUUAAGCGACCCGUCUUGAAACACGGACCAAGGAGUCUAACAUGCCUGCGAGUGUUUGGGUGGAAAACCCGAGUGCGUAAUGAAAGUGAAAGUUGGGAUCCCUGUCGUGGGGAGCACCGACGCCCAUACCAGACCUACUGUGACGGAUAUGCGGUUGAGCAUGUAUGUUGGGACCCGAAAGAUGGUGAACUAUGCCUGAAUAGGGUGAAGCCAGAGGAAACUCUGGUGGAGGCUCGUAGCGAUUCUGACGUGCAAAUCGAUCGUCAAAUUUGGGUAUAGGGGCGAA